UUCUCAAGUGAAACUGUCGAGGCCUCCUACGGAACAUAUUAAGCUACACAGGAGCAGUGAUGAGAAUAAACAUGACUUUUGGUGCUCAUGAUUAAAUAUGGCAGUUUUAUUAUGAACCCACUACAUUAGAGAAGGAAAUACUGGAUGUGAAGUGCAGUAGUGCUAGUGUGUGUGAAUAGACGAUCAGUUUAGAUACUGACCCAGAACACUACUAACAUACAGUGCUUUCUUGGGGUGGUGCUGAAGUUGGAGUUGAACCGGUAAGAAAGAUAUUAGAGAGAGGCUUCUUUACACUCCUGAGGAUGUUCAAUUAGAACCUGCACCAAACUCCCCUGAUUCAAGUCAUCAGCUAAUUAAGCGGCCUGCACGAGCUGAGAUUCUUACUGAGGUGCUGUUUUCCACAUGCAGUGCUUGGCUGUGUUGGAGGUCACCAAGAAAGACUUCCUGGCUGUCAUGUGGAAGCUAAGUGGGCUGGGGUCAAAAGGGUUUCUGGCCAUGGUGCUUGUGCUGCAGUGAUCUUGUUCUCCAUCACACUCCAACACAAGUAGCCAUCUUCACCCUCUCCCAAGAGGUGAUGUGGUUUGACUUGUGCUACACAGAGGUGAGUCCAGUUAUGCUGCAAGAAGUGUAAGUAUGAUGGGGUUGACGAGUGGGAGGAGAGGUUCUUCUUCUUGACGAAAGCAUGAACUAGUAUUUCUGCAUCAUGUAGUGACAAUAUGUUUCUUAUAUAUGUUUAUGAUAUUAUCAUCUUGUCAUUUAUCAAAGAAGAGCUACAAAA